rnacentral:rRNA from 1 species
ACGCGCCAAACCUUACCUGGGUUUGACAUGGAUCGGGAGUGCUCAGAGAUGGGUGUGCCUCUUUUGGGGUCGGUUCACAGGUGGUGCAUGGCUGUCGUCAGCUCGUGUCGUGAGAUGUUGGGGUUAAGUCCCCGCAACGAGCGCAACCCCUUGUUCACUGUUGGCCAGCACGUUAUGGUGGGGACUCAGUGGAGACCGCCGGGUCAACUCGGAGGAAGGUGGGGAUGACGUCAAGUCAUCAUGCCCCUUA